rnacentral:lncRNA from 10 species
AGAGGAUCUCAGCAUAUUUCUGGAAGAUAGAAAGUGGAUGAAGCAUGAUAAUGAAAGAGUGAAGAACCUUUCAGAUAAAAUGUAAGCUGAUCUGAACAACAUAACCCCAAAGAGACUUGCGCACCUGAAAAGCUUGUCUACUGAAGAAUUACUCCAGUUGUAAGAUUGAGCCCUCUCCUACUCUCCCCCAACUCUUAUGCACAGAACACAGGCAGUCUCCACUAUUGAUACCAGUUAAAAAUUUCUUGUUAUUGUUGCUGUUGUUGUUUGUAUAAAGGAAUUGAACAGGCUGCUUGCAGAGAGAUAAGAGUUGGUGCUCCAGAAAAAAAUUUCUCUUCUAGUGGAAAUAAGUGCCCCUACCCCCAGCCGGUCAGCUAAUUCUCUACUGACAGCUGAGACCUCCUACUCAAGUGCCUGUUGCCUUCAGGUAUAGAAGAGGUUUCCUGAAGAAACAGACCUAACUGUACAACAGCAGAGGAAACCCAUGCCAACUGUUAUACAAGUUAACAGUUAUGUUGAUUCUUAAAUGGGAAUGGUGAGUUAGAAAUUCCCAGACAUGGGCGAUGGGGAGGGAAGAGGAAUAAGAAAAGUCACGAGGUAGAAUUAGGGGCCUUGAAAAUAUGACAAACUCUGAGGGAAACAAAGACAAUGUGGAAAGAAUAACUUAAUUUUAAUUCCAUCUCCAGAGAGAUUUGAGGUGUAUUUAAGAUGAAAAACAGGAUACUACAAAGAAACGGAAAACUCAGGAGUUCGAGACCAGCCUAGGCAAGAUGGCAACAUCCCGUCUCUACAAAAUAAUUUUUAAAAAUUAGCCAAGCAUGGUGGCAUGUGCCUGUGGUCCUAGCUACUUGGGAGGCUGAAGUGGGAAGAUCACUUGAGCCCAGGAGUUCAAGGCUUCAGUGGGCCAUGAUGGUGCCACUGCACUCCAGCCUGGGGGACAGAGUGAGACCCUGUCUCUUAAAAAGCAAGAAAAGAAAGAGAAGACUGAGAAUAAGAAGAUCUCUUUGAAAAUAAAAUAAGACUGCUAAAAGUAUUUGGUAUACAGUCUGGAAAAUAAAGUUGAGG